UACGGAGGCAGCAGUGGGGAUAUUGCACAAUGGGGGAAAGCUGAUGCAGCAACGCCGCGUGGAGGAUGACACAUUUCGGUGCGUAAACUCCUUUUUUAGAAGAUAAUGACGGUACUAUAUGAAUAAGCGCCGGCUAACUCCGUGCCAGCAGCCGCGGUAA
rnacentral:rRNA from 1 species